rnacentral:siRNA from 1 species
CCACUUUAUUGAACACUGAUUUA